UACGUAGGGUGCGAGCGUUGUCCGGAAUCACUGGGCGUAAAGGGCGCGUAGGCGGGAUGGCAAGUCAGUCGUGAAAUCUCUCGGCUCAACCGAGAAACGUCGGCUGAUACUGCCGUUCUUGAGGGAUGCAGAGGAGACUGGAAUUCCCGGUGUAGCGGUGAAAUGUGUAGAGAUCGGGAGGAACACCGGUGGCGAAGGCGGGUCUCUGGGCAUCUCCUGACGCUGAGGCGCGAAAGCGUGGGGAGCAAACGGG
rnacentral:rRNA from 1 species